UACGGAGGGUGCAAGCGUUGUCCGGAAUUAUUGGGCGUAAAGGGCUCGUAGGCGGUUUGUUGCGUCGGGAGUGAAAACUCGGGGCUUAACCCUGAGCCUGCUUCCGAUACGGGCAGACUAGAGGUAUGCAGGGGAGAACGGAAUUCCUGGUGUAGCGGUGAAAUGCGCAGAUAUCAGGAGGAACACCGGUGGCGAAGGCGGUUCUCUGGGCAUUACCUGACGCUGAGGAGCGAAAGUGUGGGGAGCGAACAGG
rnacentral:rRNA from 1 species